rnacentral:ribozyme from 14 species
CCAAAACGAGGAGAAGGUACGGAAGGUGCGAAGGCCUCUGCUGUUGCCGCAAAGAAGAGAAGAGCUGAAGAUGCAAUUGGAAAUUUCAUUGUGUUGUCGUUUGGAGGGAUUUUUUAGGAGAUCCCCUUCUGUUUAGUGCUACAGAGAGAUAGUAAAAAAAUGAUGUGAUAUAAGAUUAAAUUAUUAUUUGUUGUUACUUAAAAUUCU